UGGGUUUGUGUUGAAGGUAAGGGGCCGGGAGGCCGCGCACACUGCCGCUGUUGUCCGGGUUUGUGUUGAAAGUCUCAGUCACAGCCUGCCUUCAUCUCUGAAGGGACCAGGCGACCCACGGAGUGCCUCGGCAGCCUUGUCAUUGCACACAAUCUUCACAGACAAGAUCUCACUGCAGCCACCUUUCUACAGGAGCACAGAAGCACUGGCCUUGUUCAUCCUCAGGCUGUGGUGCUGGCACUGCCCUCCUUCAUCCUCAGGCUGUGGUGCUGGUACUGGCCUCCUUCAUCCUCAGGCUGUGGUGUUAGAAGUCAUCCCUCUCCCAAGCCCCUUAGGAUCGACUGAGUGACGAGCAGUGAAGUUCGUCCACCGUCUGAAUGGAUGCCAUCAUUGGAUGUGAUGGAGCCAGUGGAAUGCUGCUGCCUUCCCUCCCGUAGCUAGGAUGUCCCUGAUAAAGGAUGACAUCCAAGCCUCAGCAUGACCGGCCAAACUUGAGAUGGUCAUCUCAGCACUGAUGCAGGGCCAACAAUUAGCCCCAUUUGUACAUUUUUACAAACCUUUUGGCAAUUUCCAAGAAUUGUCCACCUCCCCUCCCCAUUGAACUAAAGAAACUUCUUGUCGCAUGGAUACUCAGAAUACCAAUCAAGGCAACAGAUGCUUUUAUUUUAACUAAGUACACAGUACGGAUCUCACAGGGACACUCCUUAUCCCCUGCAGAGUUCCAGACACUACUGAUGGUGACCAAGGCAACAUUUCA
rnacentral:lncRNA from 1 species